UGGGUAAAUGAUAGAUAUUGUGUAGGCGUGGUGCUUAUACCGUAUUUAUCUCCGAUUGUACCCAAUAUGCCAGAUCGUGGGGUAGUUCGUGAUAGUGACAGCUUCAUUGAUUCUUAUAUAGUCCCCCUCUCCUGUAUUGGGCUGGCAGAGCAACAUUAUUACAGGGGAGUGAUUGCUAUGUUUCUCAUAUUCCUUGCUAAU
rnacentral:lncRNA from 1 species